rnacentral:lncRNA from 1 species
CCAUCAUUUGCAUUAAUCGACCUCUAUAAGGUUUUCCUUUAUUGGCCGUCACAAUUCAUGUGGUUGGGACCAAAAACCUUACAAGAGACAUUUUAGAAUUUAGGUUUGCAUUUUUUCCUUCUUUUUGCAUUCAUGUAGUGCAUCCAAAUGUAAUAAAUUCUUUGGUUAAAACAAGAAAAUCUUUGAUUAAAUCAUGCAACUAGCCUUGGCUAGGUCAAAGGGGUGCCUUGGAUUUUAUCCUUGCCUUCCCCUUUGUCAAAUGUGACUCCCGAACCUUUUUCAUUGGUUUACGUAGAUUAGGAGUCGUUUAAAAAGGGUUUCUCACUACUUUUUCCUAUUUUUCUUUAAAAAUACAUUUUUUAGGUGACUUGGUACACCUUAACUCAUUACCAAGUGGCGACUCCGUAUUUAGUUUUAAAAACCCUUUUUAAACUAUAAU